rnacentral:tRNA from 1 species
GCCUGGGUGGCUCAGUCGGUUGAGCGUCCGACUUCGGCUCAGGUCAUGAUCUCACAGUCUGUGGGUUCGAACCCCGCGUCAGGCU